UUCGAUCCUGGCUCAGAUUGAACGCGCUGGCAAGGAUGUCACUUUACACAUACCAGUCAGACGGCAACACGGACUUCGGUCGGUGGCGAGUGGCGAACGGGUGAAGGUAAUGUAUCGGGCGUGCUAGUAACAAGGGGAUAACCGCGCGAGCGUAGCCAUAAUACCCGCAUACGCCCUUCGAGGAAAGCGGGGGCCUUCCGGGCCUCGCACUAUUAGAGGCGGCCGUAUCAGUUAGCUAGUUGGUGGGAAGUAACAGCUCGCAAGGCACGAUCCGUAAGCUGGUUUGAAGGACGACCAGCCACACUGGGACUGGGUUACGGCCCAGACUCUACAGGAGGCAGCGGUAGGGUACGGACAAUGGGGAAACCUGAUUCCAACCAUCCCGCGUGUGCGAUGAAGGCACCUUCAGGUUGUAAAGCACUUUUGGCAGGAAAGAAACGGCACGGGAUAAUACCCCGUGCAACUGACAGUACCUGCAGAAUAAGCACCGGCUAACUACGUUCAGCAGCCGCGGUAAUGACAGUGCAAGCGUUAAUCGGAAUUACUGGGCGUAAGCGUGCGCAGGCGGUUCGGAAAAGAUGUGAAAUCCGCAGAAACGCUGGAACUGCAUUUUGAACUACCGAGCUAGAGUGUGUCAGAGAGGUGGAAUUCCGCGUGUAGCAGUGAAAUGCGUAGAUAUGCGGAGGAACACCGAUGGCGACAACCUCUGGGAUAACACUGACGCUCAUGCACGAAAGCGUGGGGAGCAAACGGGAUUAGAUACCCACGACAUUCCACGCCUAAACGAUGUCAACUGGCUAUUUAGAGCCUUCCGGGCCUUGGUAACAGCUAACACGUAAGUUGACCGCCUGGGAGAUACAGUCGCAAGGUUAAAACUCAAAGGGACAUGACGGGGACCCGCACAAGCGGUGGAUGAUGUGGAUUAAUUCGAUACAACGCGAAAAACCUUACCUACCGCUUGACAUGUCUGGAAUCCCGAAGAGAUUUUGAAGGAGUGCUCGCCGAAACCGGAACACAGGCUGCAUAACAAUGGUCAAGCUCGUGUCGGCGAGAUGUUGGGUUAAAUUCCCGCAACGAGCGCAACCCUUGUCAUUAGAUUGCUACAGAAAGGGCACUCUAAUGGAACUGCGGCAGUGACAAACCGGAGGAAGGUGGGGACUGACGUCAAGUCCUCAUGGCCCUUAUGUAGGUAGGGCUUCACAUGUCAUACAAUGGUCGGGACAGAGGGUCGCUGGAGGUAACCCGCGAGGGCGGACAGAGAAGCCGAUCGUAGUCCGGAUCGCAGUCGACUCGACUGGCGAAGUCGGGAAUCGCGCUAGUAAUCGAGGAUAACAUUCGCGGUGAAUACGUUCCCAGGUCUUGUACACACCGCCCGUCACACCAUGGGAGUGGGUUUCCACCAAAAGUAGUUAGCCUAACCGUAAGGCAGAUUACGGUAGGAUUCAUGACUGGGGUGAAGUCGUAACAAGGUAA
rnacentral:rRNA from 1 species